rnacentral:rRNA from 1 species
UACGUAGGGGGCUAGCGUUGUCCGGAAUCAUUGGGCGUAAAGCGCGUGUAGGCGGUCCGGUAAGUCCGCUGUGAAAGUCGGGGGCUCAACCCUCGAAAGCCGGUGGAAACUGUCGGGCUAGAGUACGGAAGAGGCGAGUGGAAUUCCUGGUGUAGCGGUGAAAUGCGCAGAUAUCGGGAGGAACACCGGUGGCGAAGGCGGUUCGCUGGGCCUUACCUGACGCUGAGGAGCGAAAGCGUGGGGAGCGAACAGG